rnacentral:rRNA from 1 species
UUGGAGGGCAAGUCUGGUGCCAGCAGCCGCGGUAAUUCCAGCUCCAAUAGCGUAUAUUAAAGUUGUUGCAGUUAAAAAGCUCGUAGUUGAAUUUCGGGACUAAUAUGUCGGUCGUACUUUGUACGUACUAGCAUUAUUGGUUUCUCCCUUCUGACGAACCACGAUGUCAUUAAUUUGGUGUCGUGGGAAAUCAGGACUGUUACUUUGAAAAAAUUAGAGUGUUUAAAGCAAGCUCGCGCUUGAAUACAUUAGCAUGGAAUAAUGAAAUAGGACGUUUGAUUCUAUUUUGUUGGUUUCUAGGAUCGACGUAAUGAUUAGUAGGGAUAGUUGGGGGCAUUAGUAUUCAAUUGUCAGAGGUGAAAUUCUUGGAUUUAUUGAAGACUAACUACUGCGAAAGCAUUUGCCAAGGAUGUUUUCAUUAAUCAAGAACGAAAGUUAGGGGAUCGAAGACGAUCAGAUACCGUCGUAGUCUUAACCAUAAACUAUGCCGACUAGGGAUCGGAUGAUGUUAAUUUUUUAAUGACUCAUUCGGCGCCUUACGGGAAAC